CUGCUCGCAUCUGCAGCACAUGCACUAGAACUGGAGCGGUCCAGGAAGAUUAGCAGGGCCCCUGCGCAAGGAUGGCAUGCCACUUCCUGAAGCGUUCCAAAUAAAU
ensembl:snRNA U6 U6 spliceosomal RNA